rnacentral:rRNA from 1 species
UACGAAGGGGGCUAGCGUUGCUCGGAAUCACUGGGCGUAAAGGGUGCGCAGGCGGCUUCUCAAGUCAGGGGUGAAAGCCCAGAGCUCAACUCUGGAAUUGCCUUUGAGACUGAGUGGCUUGAGUACGAGAGAGGUGAGUGGAAUUCCCAGUGUAGAGGUGAAAUUCGUAGAUAUUGGGAAGAACACCGGUGGCGAAGGCGGCUCACUGGCUCGUAACUGACGCUCAUGCACGACAGCGUGGGGAUCAAACAGG